rnacentral:rRNA from 1 species
UACGUAGGGUGCAAGCGUUGUCCGGAAUUAUUGGGCGUAAAGAGCUUGUAGGCGGUUUGUCGCGUCUGCUGUGAAAUUUCGGGGCUCAACCCCGAACUUGCAGUGGGUACGGGCAGACUAGAGUGUGGUAGGGGAGACCGGAAUUCCUGGUGUAGCGGUGAAAUGCGCAGAUAUCAGGAGGAACACCGAUGGCGAAGGCGGCACUCUGGGCUGGUACUGACGCUGAGGAGCGAAAGCGUGGGUAGCAAACAGG